UGAGAUGGGGGAAAAGGAGCAAAGAUUUGAAGGGUAAGGGGGUUUGACCUGCUGCCGUGGGCUUUGAAGAUGAGGAAGGGGGCCAUGAGCCAAGGAAUGCAGGUGCCUCCAGAGGCUGGAAACUGCCCUCAGCUGACAGCCAGCAGGGAAACGGAGACGCCAGUCCUACAACCUCAGGGAAAUAAAAUCUGCCAACAACCCGAGUGAGGAGGAAACGGAUCCUCCCCCAUGGCUUCCAGAAAGGAACACAGCCUGCGGACGCCUGUUUAAGGGGGGUGAGCCCCGUGUUGGACUUCUGGCCUCCAGGACUGGCGCUGUGCGUGGCCGAGGGUCCACCGUGGAUGACCGGGGGCUCUGCUGUGGACAGUGAGUGACCACCAUGGACAAGUGUGUGUUUGUCUGUGGACACGGUCGUUCCCCUGUCCCCUGACUGCCCCCCACUUGUUACCGGGAGGUCUGGAGGUUGGGUGGGGCCUGUCCUGCCUCCCUCAGCCCCUGCUCCUUCUCUCUGAACCUCUGGUGUCGGAGCCCACAGAGUCCUCCAAAGGAUGUGGGUCUCAUGGGAGCUGCAGGGGGCCCCCAAGCUGGGACCCUGCUGACCUCAUGACCUUUAGAAAUGGAUGGACAGCCUCAACUCAGACGGAAGAUUCACUCCUGAACCAGAUUGUCGCUGAGAUAACAUCUGUGCCCAUCUUCCUCUAUUUUUUGUGGGACACCGCCUCAGCAUGGCUUGACAAGCGGUGCUAGAUCUGUGCCCGGGAUCUGAACCUGUGAACCCCGGGCCACCGAAGGGGAGCACGUGAACUUAACCACUAUGCCACUGGGCCAGCCCCUCGAUGAAUUUUUAAGUUGCAUCCAUGGCAAUUGAACACAAGACCACAUCUCGUCAAUCCGAGUAAAUGCUCACGCAGUAUCCAGAAAUCU
rnacentral:lncRNA from 1 species